UACAGAGGUGGCAAGCGUUGUUCGGAAUUACUGGGCGUAAAGGGCGCGUAGGCGGUCUUCUAAGUCUUGUGUGAAAUCCCUCGGCUCAACUGAGGAACUGCACGGGAUACUGGAUGACUUGAGUUCGGGAGAGGGAAGCGGAAUUCCGGGUGUAGCGGUGAAAUGCGUAGAUAUCCGGAGGAACACCGGUGGCGAAGGCGGCUUCCUGGACCGAUCACUGACGCUGAGGCGCGAAAGCUAGGGGAGCAAACGGG
rnacentral:rRNA from 1 species